rnacentral:rRNA from 1 species
UACGGGGGGGGCAAGCGUUGUUCGGAAUUACUGGGCGUAAAGGGCUCGUAGGCGGCCAACUAAGUCCGACGUGAAAUCCCAAGGCUUAACCUUGGAACUGCGUCGGAUACUGGAUGGCUUGAAUUCGAGAGAGGGAUGCAGAAUUCCAGGUGUAGCGGUGAAAUGCGUAGAUAUCUGGAGGAACACCGGUGGCGAAGGCGGCAUCCUGGACCGGCAUUGACGCUGAGGCGCGAAAGCCAGGGGAGCAAACGGG